UUAAUAUUGUCUUUUUCUUUUCGUUGCAGUUGACGAUUGUCCUCCUGGUGUGGCUGUAGUUUUGUGUGCAAGAAAUCCUUGCGAAAAUAUCUCCAGCAAGAGAUGUCGCACCAACAUGUGCGGUGGCUGCUUCGCCGAAUGUUUUGAUGACAAAAAUCAAACAAUAACAUGCGAACAAAAUAACUCGACGGGGAAGGCAACACAAUAAGAGAACAGCAACGAAACAAUCAUUUCAGAGAUCGCCGAUAUAAAGAAAGAAAAAGAAAUAAAUAAAUACACCCAACGGUGAAACCCACACAAUGGAAAUAACCGUUGAAUGGAAGAAACGCCGAAGAACAUCAGAAAAAUGUUUUAGAAAUAAUACAUUUCUAAAUCUCUCAGAGAGAUUUACGCAGUAGUGAUACAAUGAAGUAGUUGUAUGCUGUCAAUUUAAUGUGACAGUCCUCUGAAAAGAAUAAUACUACUGUUGGUGAGACCUAGGACUAACCCACAGUAGUAUUAUUCCCUUCAGGGGACUGUCACAUUAAGUUGACAGCAUACAACUACUUCAGAAAAAUGUUUAUUUGUUUAUAUUUAAGAUAUUCUAAAUGCUUAUUAUAAUAAAAAAAAAAUCUGUUUCUUUGUCAACAAAGAACUGUCUUAGCAUGUUUAAUGUAUUUUCAUUGAUUUUAUUUCUUAUGAAUAAUAAAUAAUAUUAUGCAGGUA